rnacentral:rRNA from 1 species
UAAUGCCGGAUGCUCCAGUUGAUCGCAUGGUCUUCUGGGAAAGCUUUCGCGGUAUGGGAUGGGGUCGCGUCCUAUCAGCUUGACGGCGGGGUAACGGCCCACCGUGGCUUCGACGGGUAGCCGGCCUGAGAGGGCGACCGGCCACAUUGGGACUGAGAUACGGCCCAGACUCCUACGGGAGGCAGCAGUGGGGAAUAUUGCACAAUGGGCGCAAGCCUGAUGCAGCGACGCCGCGUGAGGGAUGGAGGCCUUCGGGUUGUAAACCUCUUUUAUCGGGGAGCAAGCGAGAGUGAGUUUACCCGUUGAAUAAGCACCGGCUAACUACGUGCCAGCAGCCGCGGUAAUACGUAGGGUGCAAGCGUUAUCCGGAAUUAUUGGGCGUAAAGGGCUCGUAGGCGGUUCGUCGCGUCCGGUGUGAAAGUCCAUCGCUUAACGGUGGAUCCGCGCCGGGUACGGGCGGGCUUGAGUGCGGUAGGGGAGACUGGAAUUCCCGGUGUAACGGUGGAAUGUGUAGAUAU